rnacentral:rRNA from 1 species
GACGAACGCUGGCGGCGUGCCUAAUACAUGCAAGUUGAGCGCUGAAGGUUGGUACUUGUACCAACUGGAUGAGCAGCGCACGGGUGAGUAACGCGUGGGGAAUCUGCCUUUGAGCGGGGGACAACAUUUGGAAACGAAUGCUAAUACCGCAUAAAAACUUUAAACACAAGUUUUAAGUUUGAAAGAUGCAAUUGCAUCACUCAAAGAUGAUCCCGCGUUGUAUUAGCUAGUUGGUGAGGUAAAGGCUCACCAAGGCGAUGAUACAUAGCCGACCUGAGAGGGUGAUCGGCCACAUUGGGACGGAGACACGGCCCAAACGCCUACGGGAGGGAGCAGUAGGGAAUCUUCGGCAAGGGACGAAAGUCUGACCGAGCAGCGCCGCGUGAGUGAAGAAGGUUUUCGGAUCGUAAAACUCUGUUGGUAGAGAAGAACGUUGGUGAGAGUGGAAAGCUCAUCAAGUGACGGUAACUACCCAGAAAGGGACGGCUAACUACGUG